rnacentral:lncRNA from 10 species
GCCUUCUGCUGUGAUCGCGUUCUCCACAGUUGCCUCUGGGUAGGAGCCUGGACACUAAUAGAAAAUGGAUGCACUUGAGCCGACCUAAGCAUUCAUGGUCAUGAGAUUUGUGGUUGCCACUGUUGGUUAGGAGCAUAGAGAUCAGUGUGAGUAAUAAAGUUCAUGUCUUUCUCUAAGAGACUUUUUAAAGGGUAUUCAUAAUAUCAUGAAUGUGUGAAAAAUUAUCCAAAAGGCCAACCUCAGCCAAUGAUAAAUAUGAGAUUGGUUGAAACAGUAUAUUUGCUAGCUCAUUUAUGACACAUUGAGGAUAAUUCAUGAAAGAUAUAUCAAAGUGGCAGAUUAUAUAGAAAGUUGUGGAAUAUUCUAUGCUCUUACUGUUUGGAUAUUAUAUUUACAUGGGUUAUAAUAUUAAUAUUCAUGAAUUAAUGCAUAAAUAACAUGUAAAUGAGAAUUAAGCUAAACAGUCCUAAGCCUGAGCCAGUGAUGAAAACUGGUGGCAUAGAAGUCAAGGAUGCUGAAUAAUGUGUGUCUAGAACUCUGAGGUUCAAUAGAGGAGGAAAUAUAGUCUAUUGCUUUUGAAGUGAUCUUAUAGUUAGGUUUUGGAAAUACAAAAGGGCCAUCUUCUUGGAUUGUUUUUGUGACUUUUGUUUCUUCUUUAAAAUAAAUUCAUUGAUGUAAUAAUCAAUGUACACAUGUAAAAAAUUAAAGAUGAGGAGUGUGAAGCAUGUCCACUCAAUGUAAAUGGUGAGACAACAGAAAUCAUUAAAAUGUAUUGAAAAUAUGAAUACCAUUUAAAAAACGAACAAUUCAAGUGUAAUCUUUGACUACGGAUGACAUAAGCAGUAUAGUGAAGUUUCUUAUUUUGCAUCAGAACAAGUGUGCUGUUGUUCAUUUUUUUAAAAGAAAAUUGAUAAGUAUUACCACAAUUAAUAGAUACCUGAAUGACUAAGAGAAGGGUCAAAUGAAUGAAUCCGUGAAAAAUAUUUCAAUCCUGUUACCUUCUCUGCUUUGCACUUCCCAGAAUGGACACACCUGGGCUGGCAGAACAUCUUGCCUUGAUCUGGAGCCCCAUGUCUGCCCCUCUGUAGAGGUGCACAUGGGCCAAUGAUGGAUGCAAUGAGCUGAUCAUUUUGCUGUGAUCAAGGCUAUGUUGCCUCUGUGUUAGGCCAAUGUGAGUAAUGGUUCUUGUCUUGGUUUAGGUUGUUUAAUGGUAUUCCUGAUAUUAUUAAAAAUUAUUUAAUAUAAUAAAAAGUUAAUUGGCUUAAUGACAAUGUGCAACAUUGAGGUUAAUUAAUGAAAGAGAUGUAGUCUCUGUGGGAAAUUAUUGUAUAGACAAAUGUAAGGAUUCUUCAAAUAUCUUGUUCUUGGGUUUUCAAAAUCAUGUAUUCAUUUUAUUAUCAAAGAAGAAAUGAUUUAUUCAAUAAAUAUUUAGAAAUGAAUGAUGAAAGAGAGACCCAACUAUGAAUCAAUGGUGACCACUGGUGGCAUAUAAGUCAUGGAUGAUGAAUAUGAGAAGAAAAGAAUCUAGGUUUUUGCUUCUGUUGGAAAUGAUCCUGUAGACAAUGUCAGAAACAUACAAAGAUCAUUUUCUUAUCUUGGGGUCAUAGAUUUAGGUUUAUUAUUACUAAUAUAUGAAUGAUAGAACCAUUAAACAAAUAUAAACAGAUUACAAGUAGAGAUUUAAGCUACAGUGUCCAGCUAUGAAUAUAGGAGAUGAGAUAAAUUAUUACUAAAAAUAGGAGAUACUGAUUCCUCUUAUCAAAGAAAUGGAUCACAGUGUUUCCUCUUUGACUAAGGAUUAUAUAGAAUCUAACAAGUAAGAGUCAGUUUUAUUUUCUUGGUCAGAGAUUGUUUCUUCUGUUAAGAGAGAAAGACACCUAUAAUAUGAAAAAUUAGUAAAUACCCAAAUCACUGAAUAAAUGCUAUGCAGAAAGGCAGGAUCAACAGAGAUUAGGUCUCAAUGUUUUUAGUCUGCUCUGUACUCCUCAGAAUGGACAGACCCGGGCUGAUUUUGGUGUUCUGUGGCUAUGAGAUCAGUGGUUGCCUCCAUGUGUUAGGAACAUGGAGACUGACGUAAUAGUCAAACUUCUUGUCUCAGUUUCAGUGUUCUUCUGAAGGGUAUGCAGUAAGUGCAAAAUGUAAUCAGUGACUGCCAACCAUUACCCAAAUGUAAAAAAUGUAAUUAUUAUAUAUGAAGCCUUGAGGUCAGUUGAUCUACAGGCAGAUGUUAGAAAUAUUAUUAUAUUUCUGCUUAUUCCAUAGGCAGAUGUUAGAAAUAUUCAAGAAUCUUGUCUUCUAGUUUUUGUGAUUCUUGGUAUUUAUUUUAGUAUUAUUAGAUUUUUGAUGUAUUAUUCAAUGAUAUGAAUGAAGAAAAUGAGAGCCAAGCCUGGAUCAAUGAUGUCCACUGGUGGCGUAUAAAUCAUAUUUGGUGAAUAUAUGUCUGGAACUCUGAGGUCCAAGAAGGAAGGAAUCUAGGUUAUUGCCUCUUUUAGAAAUAAUCCUAUAGAUUAUUUAAGAAUAUAUAAGGAUCUUAUUUGGCCUUUUUAAAUGAGUUUUUACUCUAUCAUAAUAAAUUGAUCAAUAAAAGGAUCAACAUAUGGAUACAAAUACAUAAAGGUAAAUAGGGUGAAGCAUCAUCAAAUUAUGGAAAGAUGUGGUGGCAAGAGAAUCCACGUGUAUGUACACUGAAGACACUGAAUGUCAUUAAAAAACCAAUGGUUCAGGCUGUUACACCUGGUUAAAAAUCAUGCAGGUAACAUAAAUAAUAGCCUGUAUUCUGUAUUAGAAAUAGCAAAGAUCCGAUUGUGUUUCGUAGCUAUCGAUUAUAUCUUCAUAAGUUGAUUAGUGCACAAAUAACCAAAGAAAUGUAUGAAUACACGAAGAAAAAUGGAACCAAGUAUGGACUAAGUAUGUCCUCUAUAAAGUUGCUCUUAGUUAGAAACAAAUUGUAGGAUUUUACUAGGGUCGGAUAGGCAUUUCUGUUCUAGAUUUCUGAAAAUGAAAAGAUUACUCAUUUUGUUGAAAAGGAAUAGCUGGUUGGAAAAAUUAAUUCGUUUGUUCCUGAAUUAUAAACUCAUUUAGACUAAUAAUGAAUGAGUUAAUAGAUAAAAAGAUCAAGAACUGACCACUCAUGAGACUGUGUUAUAAAGCCAGGAAUGAGAAGAAGCUGAUUCUGUAAAGCAAAGCUAACUUGCAGAGAAUAGCAAGACGAUUACAUGUUUGAGUGGCGGCACUGGGGCCAAUAUGUCCCAUAGUCAGAUGUUUUUCUUAAUGCAGGUGAUGGAUUCAAGAAUGUUCACUAUUGAUGUAAAAUUCAUAACUUAAAUAAUUCAAUAAAUAAAAGGAGAGUGAAUCUAAUCUAAGGAUGGGGAGUGUCGUGAACCAAUGUUUGAGAUGAACCUAACCCUGAUCAUUUCAUAUUUAUUCAGACACAGCCUGAAUCUUGUUGUUUCUUACCUGUAACAUCUACUUUGUACUUCGCAGGGUUGAUGUUCAUGGGUGAUUGAUCAUCCUGUAGCGACGGUGGUAUUGACUGUUCCCCAGAGGACAAGGAGUGUGUUCUUAUAAUGGACAUCAUGAUUGGGAUUGUCUUUAUUAAACUUUGUCAGGAGAGUAAAGAUCAAUGUGGCCACAUGUUGUGGCUCAUGCCUGUAAUCCCAACACUGUAAUCCCAGCACUGUAAUCCCAGCCUGUAAUCCCAGGCUGAGGUGGGCGGAUCACCUGAGGUUGGGAGUUCGAGACCAGCCUGACCAACAUGGAGAAACCCCGUCUCUACUAAAAAUACAAAAUUAGCCGGGCAUGGUGGCGCAUGUCUUUAAUUCCAGCUACUCAGGAGGCUGAGGCAGGAGAAACGCUUGAACCCGAGAGGCGGAGGUUGCAGUGAGCUGAGAUUGCGCCAUUGCACUCCAGCCUGGGCAACAAGAGUGAAACUCCAUCUCAAAAGAAAAAAAAAAGAAAACAAAACAAAAAAAGAAAAAACCAAUGUAAGUACCUGUUAAAGUUCUUGCUAUGGUUCCAGUGGUUUGCUUCCUAACUGUGUUAUUUAGAAAUUUGAAGUAUAUUUAAUGAAUGUCCUCCCUUCCCACUGGCCCUGCCAGGCAUGCUGCCAUCUGUUCUCUGGGACUUGUGAGUAGUACACUGCUCCUGUUAUUUCAUGUGCUUUGCUAAGUUGUUUCUUCUGUGUCUCAACUGAUCAACACACCCAGACCUAACUGAUUUCCAGGUUGGGGCUCUCCUAGAGAGUGCCUCUCUUGGUAGGAAUAAACUGGACACAGACAAGAGCCUCCAUGGUGUCUGCCUGUAUAACCAAGUUUUCUAUGAGAGGGACAAUGGGUCAUAGAUUGAACACUUGGGCAUUACAUCUGUGAGAAUAAGUCUAUAGUAAAUUUCAGUAAAUUUGAGGGAUCUAAUUAUGGGGUUUCAGUAGAUCCUGGGGAUUUAUUGCAUUAUUCGAAGGAAAUAAAUGAAAGAAUCAGCAAAACAUACAGACACACAUAUAAAUAAUUAAAGAUGAAGAGGAUAAAGCUGGAUUAAUUGAGGAAAAUGCUAUCAGACAGGAAUUUUUGGUUCUGUAAUUCUGAAACACUGCAAUGCAUUAAGAAACCUGUACAUCAAGGGUGUCACCUGUCUAGGGUAGGGUAAUAUAGAGUAGUUGUUCUCAAAUGCGAGCAUUGGAGUGACCUGGAGGGCUUGUAAAAUACAGAAGGUCACCUACAUUCUCAGGAUUUCUGAUUCAGUAGGUUUGGUGUGGGGUCUGAGAAUCUAAAUUUCUAAUAACUUAAUUUCUGUAGGUUCCAAUAGUUUCCCAAAUCAUGCUGAUGCUGCCUCCUGAGAAAUAUUUUCAGAAUCACUGAGAAAAAUGUAUGAAAUAGUUAAUGUCCUUGCUCUGUGUCAGUGGUGGAGGCUGUCUGCAGUAGGAGCAUGGAGACCAACAAUGGAUGCUCUUAAACUGAUUUAAGCACGCUUCCAUGGUCAGAAGCCUUAUGGUUGCCACAGGGUAUUAGGAGCAUGGAGACCAAUAAUGGAUGUCCUUGUUCUGAUUUGAGGAUGCCUCCAAGGUCACAUACUCUGUUUGCACCACGCUUAGGAAGGAGCGUGAAGACCAAGGGGAGUAAUAGUCAAAGUCCUUACCUUUGUUUGGGUGGUUUGUUUAAGAGUAAUCAACGUAUUAUUUAAAAGUGUGAAAUACAGUCAAAGAUGGCCAAUGUUAUUCCAGUGAUAUGGGAGUGACAUGAAGUAUUAUAUUGAUGAUGCAUAUAUAAAAAACAGGAUAGUUAAUGAAACACCCAAUGUUUGAGUGAUUCUGUAUACUGAUAGGGAAUAUCAAGAGUGUUACUGGGUUUUGUGAAUCACGGGCCUUGAAAGUAUUAUUAAUGAAUAAAUGACAUAAUCAAUAGACAAGGUAGAAAUGAAUAGCAAAAAAAAAGAAGAUCAAUGAUGACUACUGUUAGUGUAUGAGUUACACAUGAUGAAUACAUGUCUGAAACUCUGAGGUCCAUCACAAAAGAAAUCUGGCCCAUUCCUUCUGAUUCAGGUGAUCCUAUGAAUAUACAAUGUGUUUGCUUUUGGUCUUUGGGUUUGUUCACUUCACUGUAUUAUUAUAAUUGGAUCAAUGAAAUAAUUUAUACGUAUACAUGUACGUAUAUGAAGGGGAUGAAGUAUUGUCCAAUUAUAAAAUAAGUGGUGAGGCAAGAUGUAUUAUUAUUAUUAUAUUAAAGCAUUAUAUUAAAGCUUUAAUAUAUUAAAUAAAAAUCUAAUAUUAAUAUAUAAUUAAUGCAAUAUUUAAUAUAUAUUAAAUAUGAUAACAUAUUAAAAUAUUAUAUUAAAGCAUUGAAGUCCUAAGGGAAAUAAAUGGUACCCCACUGUAACGUCUUUGACUAAGGAUGAUACAGGUGGUAGUUAUAGAUAAUGGUCAACCUCUGGGUCAAGGAAAGUUGCACAAAGUGUUCAUUUUCUUAAGAGAAAAUGAAAUAAUUAUCCUUCAGAUAGUGAUUUCUCAAAUGUUUUCCUAAAGGGAAGAUGAUAAACACAGAUCAUGGAGGACUGUUUUAUCUGUUUGUGAUCUGCCGUCCUCUGUGAGCCUCAGGAUGGAUGUUUGCCAGCCGAUUCCAUGGUUACAAGCUCUAUAGCUGCAUCUAUGUGUUAGGAGCAUGAAGACCAAUAAUGGAUGCACUGAGCUGAUUAUGAAUUUAGCCCUGAUGAAGACUUGUGUUGCUGUCAUGAUAUGAAAGAUUCCAGUAAUGAACGCACUUGAGUUGAUUCAAGCACGCUUCCAUGGUCAUGAGCUCUGUGGUUGCAUCUGUGUGUUAGGAGCAUGCAGACCAAUAGUGAUAAUCUCGAGGUGAUUUAUGCAUUCUUCCAUGGCCACCAGCCUUAUGAUUGCAUCUGUGCGUCACAGCUUAGAGAUCAAUAAUGGAUGCAACAAGCUCUUUGAAUCAUUCUGUUGGGAUCAAGAUUGUUGUGUUCCCUCUGUUUGGAAAGAGACCAAGAAUGGAUACGCUCAGGUGAUUUAAGCAGUCUUCCAUGGCCACGAGCUCUGUGGUUGCCUCUGUAUAUUAAGAGCACAGAGAUUAAAAAUGGGUGCACUUGAGCCGAUUGAAACAUUCCUCCUUGCAUCUUUCUUCUGUGAUUGCAUCUAUUUGUUAGUAGCAUAGAGACCAAUAAUAGAUGGCUUGUGCUGAUGGAAGGAUUCCUCCCUGGUGACAUGCUGUGUCUGCCUCUUGAUUGGGAGCACGCAGACCUACAAUGAUGCACUUUUUAUGAUUUGAGAAUUCCUUCAUGGUCACGUGCUCUGUUUUUAUCAUGGUUGGGAGCCUGCAGAGCAAUAAGGGACAUGCCUUUGCUGAUUUGAGGAUUCCUCUGAGGUUGGGAGCUAAGUUUGCAUCAUGCUUAGAAAGGAGUGUGCAGACCUGUAAUGAUUGCACUUUGCUGAUUGAAGGAUUCCUUCAAGUCCAUGUGCUCCACUUGCACCAUUUUUAGGAUGGAGCCUGGAGACCUAUAAUGAACAACUUGUGCUGUGUUAAGGAUUCCUCCAUGAUCACGCGCCCCAUUUGUACACCAUGCUUGGGAAGGUGCAUGCAGACCAAUAAUGGACGUACUUGUGAUGAUUUAAAGAUGCCUCCAAGGUCACGUGCUCUGUUUGCACCAUGCUUAGGAAGGAGCGUACAGACCAAAAAUGGAUGAAUUGUGCACCUUGAAAAGUUCUUCCAUGGUCACCUGAGGCAUCUGCGUCAUGAUUAGGCUCCGGAUGACUAAUAAUGGACGUACUUGUUCUGAUUUGAGGACUUCUUCAUGGUCACAUGUUCUGUUUGCACCAUGCUUAGGAAGGAGCAUGUGUACCAAUAAUGGAAGCACAGAAGCUGGUUUUAAUAGUUAAGAGCUGUAUGGUCCAUCUCUGUGCUAGAAGCUGGAGACCAAUAACAGUCACUCCCUGCACUGAUUCUGCCAUGACCACUUGCUCUAUGGUUGUUUUAAGGAACCUACAGACAAAUGUGAGUAAUCGUCAAAGUUCUUGUCUUGGUUUGGGCCAUUUAAGAGUGGUCAAUGCAUUAUUAAUAAGUAGAAAAUAUAAUUAAAGAAGACUAACCGUGUCCCCAAAAUGAACAUGGGGUUGAUAUGAAACAUUUUGUUGAGUAAUGCAUGUUUGAAACAAUCAGGUCAGUUCAAGAAACAUGUCUAAUUUCUGUAGGAACUGCUCUACAGAUAGACAACAGGGUUAUCACAGCUCUUGUCCUAUUUUUUUUCUGAUUCAUGUCUAUUUCUUUAUUAUAAAGUAGUAAAUUAAUAAAUAAAUGAAAUAGACAAAGUCUAAAUGAAAAAAAUGAUUGAUGGUCUGUGGCCUGGCCCAGAGAUGAUGACUCGUGGGUAUGAGUCAAGGAUGAUGAGUAAUAGGAGUCAGGAAGUUUAAGCUCCGAUAUAAAAGAAAUCUAGCCUAUUGAUCAGUUGGAAAUGAUCCUGUAGACAGUAGUUAAAAAUAUUCAGUUAUCGGCUGGGCACGGUGGCUCACACCUUUAAUCCCAGCACUUUGGGAGGCCGAGGUGGGCAGAUCACAAAGUUAGGAGUUUAAGACCAGCCUGACCAACACAGUGAAACCCCGUCUCUACUAAAAAUAUACAAAUUAGCCGGGUGUGGUGGCGAGUGCCUGUAAUCCCAGCUACUUGGGAGGCUGAGGCAGGAGAAUUGCUUAAACCCAGGAAGUUGAGGUUGCAGUGAGUCGAGAUCGCGCCACUGAAUUCCAGCCUGGGCAACAGAGUGAGACCCUGUCUCGAAAAAAAAAAAACAAAAAAAACCCCCAAAAAAUCAGUUACCCUAUUCUUGUGCUCUUGUAAUUCACGGAUAAUGAAUUAAUGCGUGAAGAACUCAAGUAAAAGAAAUAAGUGAAUAAAAACAUGGCCACACCUGGACCAACUAUAACAUGUGUAAUGAAGCAAGUCACAGUACUGAUCUAUUGCUCAGGGAGUGGGAAUUGUGUCAGAUUUUUAAUCUCUCAGAAUGAGAAACAUGUAGACAAAUGUAUGAGCUGUCCAUGUUUAUAUUGAGUUGUCUUUGGUUUCCUGGUUGUCUUAUCCUUAACUAGGGAUGUUGUUUAUAUAAAUAGAAAGCUAUUUUUAAAGAGGGCCAGUGACAAUAAUUUGUUCUAUAACAAGAGCUAUUGUGCUCACUAAAUUCCAUUACAAAGUGACAUCAUCUGUUAUUACUUUGGUAAUGAUCAACUAUGCAUGUGCUACGAUGAUCCAUGCUGUAGUUUAGAUCAUGUGUAAGGAUACUGAUUUUAUCUUAAUAAUGAACAAAUGCUUAAGUUAAUAAUAAUCAAUUAGCUAAAAAGGAUAAAGCAAGGGCCAGUAGCAAACAUGUCUGGAAAUGAUGGUUGUGAUGUAACUGGGUCCGGAGAGUGUAUUCUUCUUAAGGCAAGUAUUUUGGCUCUUACAAGUGUUUGCAUAAUUAGGCUAUACAUAGACGCACAGUAUCAGACACAUUCUGGGUUUCUGAGGGUUUACAUAUGUUCUGUUUCUUUACAAAGAAUGAAUAAUUCGCCAAAUUGGUUUGUGAAUGAGUGAAUGAAGUGAUAGCAAGCACUGUUCAUUGGUAUGAAAUUGCUCUGAAACAAGUAUUUAGAUGAAUCUAAUUGUGCAUAUGGGAGGUCCAAAGAUUUAGGUUGUUGAGUGCAUGGGUGGAGGCAUUGAAGCUGACGUGUUUUGUAGAGAACUCUCAUUCUUGAUUCAGAUGUUGGAUUCAAAGGCGUCCAUUUAUUUUAUUUAAGUUCUGGGGUACAUGUGCAGGAUGUGCAUGUUUGUUACAUCGGUAAACAUGUGUCAUGGUGGUUUGCUGCACCUAUCAACUCAUCACCUAGGUAUUAAGCCUGGCAUGCAUUAGCAGUUUUUCCUGAUGCUCUCCCCACCCUCCCCUGACAGGCGCCAGUGUGUGUUGUUCCCCUCCUGUGUCCAUGUGUUCUCAUUGUUCAGCUCCCACUUAUAAGUGAGAACAUGCAGUGUUUUGUUUUCUGUUCCUGCAUUAGUUUGCUGAGGAUAAUGGCUUCCAGCUUCAUCCAUGUCCCUGCAAAGCACAUGCUCUCAUCCCUUUAAUGGCUGCAUAGUAUUCCAUAGUGUAUAUGUAUCACAUUUUCCUUAUCCAGUAUUUGGGUUGAUUCCAUGUCUUUGCUAUUGCGAAUAGUGCUGCAAUGAACAUACAUGUGCAUGUAUCUUUAUAAUAGAAUGAUUUCUAUUCCUUUGGGUUAUAUACCCAGUAAUGGAAUUGCUGGGUCAAAUGGUAUUUCUGCUUCUAAAUCUUUGAGGAAUCACUACACUGUCUUCCAUAAUGGUUGAACUAAUUUAUAUUCCCACCAACAGUGUAAAAUCAUUCUUAUUUCUCUUUAACUUCAUCGGCAUCUGUUUUUUCUUGACUUUUUAAUAAUCACCAUUCUGACUGGUAGGAGAUGGUGUCUCACUGUGGUUUUGAUUUGUAUUUCUCUGAUGAUCAGUGAUGUUGAGCCUUUUUUCUUGUUUGUUGGCUGCAUGUAUGUCUUCUUUUGAGAAGUGUUUGUUCAUGUCCUUUGCCCAUUUUUUAAUGGGGUUGUUGGUUUUUUUCUUGUGAAUUUGCUUAAGUUCCUUGUAGAUUCUGGAUAUUAGACCUUUGUCAGAUGGAUAGAUUGCAAAAAUUUUCUCCCAUUCUGUAGGUUGUCUCUUCACUCUGAUGAUAGUUUCUUUUGCUGUGCAGAAACUCAUUAGUUUAAUUAGAUUCCACAUGUCAAUUUUUGCUUUUGUUGCAAUUGCAAAGGCAUCCAUUUUAAAUGCAAAAUUAAUAAUUGAAUUAAUGUGACAAAAAAGAGGGUUUUCUGGCCAGUUGUAAAAAGAGCAUGACCCAAUUAUAAAAAUUAAUCUAAACUUGCUCUCCUUUCAUUUAUUAGAAUAUUAGAGCACAGUCAAAAUUUAGGAUGUUUCAUUCUUUUUACCAUUUGCAUUCUACCCUCCAGAAUGGAUUAUCAUUGGUGAAGAUCUUAGCUGGUAAGUCUCUGGGAAAAAGGCUAUAGACCUAUACAAAUAAUGCCCAAAGUUCUUGUCCUUUGGUGGGGUGUUUACUCAGAGGUAUUCAUUGUAUUAUAAAAUAAUGCAUAAAUGACUACAUCUAUAUACAGAAUUAAAAAAGAACAGGGAUGAGAGUGUGUUACACACCAAUAAUUAGAAUGAGUCCAAUCAGAACAUCUGUGGAAUUAUAUAUUUUUAAUAUCCCAAAACACUGAGUUUUAUGAAUAAAUUAAUAAAUCAGGAAUGUUCCUUCUUUUGGUAAGUAUCAUAUAGACAAAGAAUAGUAAUAGUCAACGUUUUUGUUCUGGGAGAAUGGUGAGUUCAAGUUUGUCUUGUUAAGAGAAACAAAUAAAUAAUUUCACAAAUUUAUCAAUACCUAAUUAUAAAUAGCUAAGCAAAUUAACGGGGGAAACAUGGAUCAAUUGAAAGAAUUUUUGAUAUUUUCACUCCCUUUUUGUAAGGAAUAUUCCUGCAUAUUUUGUGUAUACAUUUUUAAAGGUAUAAAAGAAUACAUGUUUAUUUUUCCUUUUUUUCACCAUCUGCUUUCAGUUCCAUAGAAGGAACACACUUAUCACUACAGUGAUUCUGUAAUGAUGAAGACCUUUAUGGGUCAGUGUGAGUAAUGAUCCAAGUUCUUGUCAUUGUUGGGAUGGUCCAUUUAGGGUAUUUAGUGUAUGAUAAAAUAAUACGUAAUAUAAUCAAUGAAGGCUACAGAAAAACCAAUGAUAAGAUUGUAUUAUAAAUCAAGGUUCAUGAUGACUACUGUUUUGCACAACAGAAGCCCUUUUUAAAAGAAGAGCUCUACAUUUUUAGCUCUGUGGGUAUGGAAUAUGGAGUCAGAUGUAUGUAACUCUCAUAGGUUUUAUGUUGGGUGGUUCAUUUAAGGGUAUUCCUGAUAUUGUUAAAAUGGAUAAUAUGUUAAUUAAUAAGAUGGAGCUCCAUUCACGAACCAGAGAUAACAAUGUGGCAUAAAUCAUUGUUUGUGUUCAAUUUCUACGAUGGUUACUUCACGUUUACUAAGUCGAAACCUAAAUCUAGGUCUUUUCAGUUGGUAAUUUCCUCUUUCAUUUGGUAAUAUCAUCUACAGGAUGGGUAGACCAGAGCUGAUUAAAUUAUUCUCCCAUUGAUGAGGAACUUUACCUUAUCCCUCAGAGUAAGGAGAAUGUCAUAUAAUGUAAGUAAUAAAGUUCUUGAGUUGGGUUGUUGGUUCAUGAUUUCUACUGUCAUUUAAAAAGAUAAUUAAAUUUUAAAAGGUCAUACUAGGCCUAUGAUGAGAAUGUGUUGUGGACCGAAAUUAAUCCAAUUUAGCACAAAUGAAGUGUAAGAAAAAAUUUAGCUUUCCCAUUCAUUUUCAAUAGUUAAAUGUCACAUUGUAUGUUUGUCUCAUUGAUUAUUUAAAGACUCUUCUCUUGAUAAAGGCUGUUACUCAUUUAUGGAGUCAGUAUUCUAGUUGUUGAGUAGGAUGGUGGUUCAAGUUUGUUCAUUUGAUAUCUAAAAGUUGUUCAAAUUAAAUGUAGAGGGGCCAUGUCUGGACCAAUGAUGUGAAUGGAAUGCAUCUGAAUAAAAAUUAUGAUCAAUCAGUUUUUGGAACAACUGAGGUCCAC